rnacentral:rRNA from 1 species
GACGAACGCUGGCGGCGUGCUUAACACAUGCAAGUCGAACGAUGAACCAGGGCUUGCCCUGGGGAUUAGUGGCGAACGGGUGAGUAACACGUGGGCAACCUGCCCAGACACCGGGAUAACCUCUCGAAAGAGUGGCUAAUACCGGAUACGACCACUUUGGGCAUCCAACGGUGGUGGAAAGGAUUCUGGUCUGGGAUGGGCCCGCGGCCUAUCAGCUUGUUGGUGGGGUAAUGGCCUACCAAGGCGACGACGGGUAGCCGGCCUGAGAGGGCGACCGGCCACACUGGGACUGAGACACGGCCCAGACUCCUACGGGAGGCAGCAGUGGGGAAUAUUGCGCAAUGGGCGAAAGCCUGACGCAGCGACGCCGCGUGAGGGACGAAGGUCUUCGGAUUGUAAACCUCUUUCAGCAGGGACGAAGCGAAAGUGACUGUACCUGCAGAAGAAGCACCGGCUAACUACGUGCCAGCCGCCGCAGUAA